rnacentral:hammerhead_ribozyme from 1 species
AUUCAGUUGACAAGUCCCAAAUAGGACGAAAUGCACAUCCUGGAU